rnacentral:pre_miRNA from 1 species
ACCCGACUCCUUUCAGCCAGCAGGCAGAUCGGGGCCCUGCCAGCACCCCUGGGAGGGCUACAGGGGCUGUGCUGGAGUCAGGGGCUGUGCCCCUGAUCUGCCUGCUGGAUGAUGGGAGACAGGU